rnacentral:miRNA from 1 species
CGGUGAAAUAUUUUGACCAAUU